rnacentral:rRNA from 1 species
CCUACGGGUGGCAGCAGUGAGGAAUAUUGGUCAAUGGCCGAGAGGCUGAACCAGCCAAGUCGCGUGAAGGAAGAAGGCCCUACGGGUUGUAAACCUCUUUUGUCGGGGAGCAAAGCGAGCCACGUGUGGUUCAUUGAGAGUACCCGAAGAAAAAGCAUCGGCUAACUCCGUGCCAGCAGCCGCGGUAAUACGGAGGAUGCGAGCGUUAUCCGGAUUUAUUGGGUUUAAAGGGUGCGCAGGCGGAGGGUCAAGUCAGCGGUAAAAUUGCGGGGCUCAACCCCGUACUGCCGUUGAAACUGCAUGCCUUGAGUGCGGGAGAAGUAGGCGGAAUGCGUGGUGUAGCGGUGAAAUGCAUAGAGAUCACGCAGAACUCCGAUUGCGAAGGCAGCAUACCGGCGCGCAACUGACGCUCAUGCACGAAAGCGUGGGUAUCGAACAGGAUUAGAUACCCUUGUAGUC